rnacentral:lncRNA from 1 species
UGUAAUCAUAAAUAAAUGUCCAUUGCAGCGGGGCUACUUUCAAGAAAAUUUAACUUGGUUAUUUCAUACUGAUACAGGUUGUCAAGACCUUUUAUGCUUCCUACACCGUUAUUAUACUAAAAUGUAUAUAUAUCAUCAACUUGAAAUUCUCUUCCACGACCUUUCCGCAUGCAUAGAGUACCUUUCCACUGCUGCCUAUCUGGCAUUUUUUAAAUUUUUUGGAUUGGAGUUGACGAAUUUAUAUAUUUUUUAAACGUGCGACCAAGUGGUUAAGAGCUUCC